GGUUAAGCGACUAAGCGUACACGGUGGAUGCCCUGGCAGUCAGAGGCGAUGAAGGACGUGCUAAUCUGCGAAAAGCGUCGGUAAGGUGAUAUGAACCGUUACAGCCGGCGAUGUCCGAAUGGGGAAACCCAGUGCAAUUCGU
rnacentral:rRNA from 1 species